GUCCAAAGCUUCGAUGUGAUAUUUUAUUAAAAUUUCAAGUUGAAAAUUAGCUUUCAUAGUUUAGUAACGUGUAUAGUAAAACAAGAUUUAUAUUACAAUAAUUUUUGCUAUUUAUGUGGUUAACAUAACAACACAGUGAGGUUAACAACAACACAGGUCUAUCUUGAUGUGACUAUCUUAUUCAAUGUUUCUGGUUUUGAGGAAAGCAUUUUCCCAUCAUUUCAAACGUCUACCUUGUAUGAUGUGACUACCUUCUUAUUCAAUAUUUCUGGUUUCGAGAAAAGCAUUUGCCCGUCAUAUCAAACGGGGUGAAAUUUCCAUUGCUGAAACAAGUGUCAACUCAGCGGUUCCACACCUUCAGCAGAGGGGAUGAUAAAGAUGCGCACUUUCGAUCAAGUUACUGAGGACAGUGGAUAGAAUUGAUAUGGUGUUUUGUUACAAUGCUAUGGAGGGUAAUGGUGGAUGAGUGAGGGAUGACACUAGCAGGACAAUAGGAAUCGCGUUUGAGAGAACUGAAAUGCAUUUCAAG